UACGUAGGGUGCAAGCGUUGUCCGGAAUUAUUGGGCGUAAAGAGCUCGUAGGCGGUCUGUUGCGUCGGCUGUGAAAACCCGGGGCUCAACCCCGGGCCUGCAGCCGAUACGGGCAGACUAGAGUUCGGCAGGGGAGACGGGAAUUCCUGGUGUAGCGGUGAAAUGCGCAGAUAUCAGGAGGAACACCGGUGGCGAAGGCGGGUCUCUGGGCCGAUACUGACGCUGAGGAGCGAAAGCGUGGGGAGCGAACAGG
rnacentral:rRNA from 1 species